rnacentral:rRNA from 1 species
UACAGAGGGAGCGAGCGUUAUUCGGAAUUAUUGGGCGUAAAGCGUGCGUAGGCGGCUAUCUAAGUCGGGUGUGAAAGCCCCGGGCUCAACCUGGGAAUUGCAUUCGAGACUGAAUAGCUAGGGUGCGGUAGAGGGAAGCGGAAUUUCCGGUGUAGCGGUGAAAUGCGUAGAUAUCGGAAGGAACAUCAGUGGCGAAAGCGGCUUCCUGGACCAGCACCGACGUUCAGGCACGAAAGCGUGGGGAGCAAACAGG